CUAGUAACGGCGAGUGAAGCGGCAACAGCUCAAAUUUGAAAUCUGGCUCUCGGGCCCGAGUUGUAAUUUGUAGAGGAUACUUUUGAUGCGGUGCCUUCCGAGUUCCCUGGAACGGGAUGCCAUAGAGGGUGAGAGCCCCGUCUGGUUGGAUGCCAAAUCUCUGUAAAGUUCCUUCGACGAGUCGAGUAGUUUGGGAAUGCUGCUCUAAAUGGGAGGUAUAUGUCUUCUAAAGCUAAAUACCGGCCAGAGACCGAUAGCGCACAAGUAGAGUGAUCGAAAGAUGAAAAGCACUUUGAAAAGAGAGUUAAAAAGUACGUGAAAUUGUUGAAAGGGAAGCGUUUAUGACCAGACUUGGGCUUGGUUGAUCAUCUGGGGUUCUCCCCAGUGCACUCUUCCAGUCCAGGCCAGCAUCAGUUUUCCCCGGGGGAUAAAGACUUCGGGAAUGUGGCUCUCUUCGGGGAGUGUUAUAGCCCGUUGUGUAAUACCCUGGGGGGGACUGAGGUUCGCGCAUCUGCAAGGAUGCUGGCGUAAUGGUCAUCAACGACCCGUCUUGAAACACGGACCAAGGAGUCGUCUUCGUAUGCGAGUGUUCGGGUGUCAAACCCCUACGCGUAAUGAAAGUGAACGCAGGUGAGAGCUUCGGCGCAUCAUCGACCGAUCCUGAUGUUCUCGGAUGGAUUUGAGUAAGAGCAUACGGGGCCGGACCCGAAAGAAGGUGAACUAUGCCUGUAUAGGGUGAAGCCAGAGGAAACUCUGGUGGAGGCUCGCAGCGGUUCUGACGUGCAAAUCGAUCGUCAAAUAUGGGCAUG
rnacentral:rRNA from 1 species